AGCGAACGUUUGCGGCGGGCCUAACACAUGCAAGUCGAACGCACUAGCAAUAGUGAGUGGCGCACGGGUGCGUAACACGUGGGUAAUCAACCCUUCAGCCUGGGAUAACGACUCGAAAGGGGCGCUAAUACCGGAUGCGACGCGAGGAGCCUCGGCGCUUCGCGGGAAAGAUUCGCAAGGAUCACUGAAGGACGAGCCUGCGGCCCAUCAGCUAGUUGGUGAGGUAAGAGCUCACCAAGGCUAAGACGGGUGGCUGGUCUGAGAGGAUGAUCAGCCACACUGGAGCUGAGACACGGUCCAGACUCCUACGGGAGGCAGCAGUGGGGAAUAUUGCGCAAUGGGCGAAAGCCUGACGCAGCCACGCCGCGUGAGCGAUGAAGGCCUUCGGUCGUAAGACGUCUGUGGGAGGAGACGAAGAAAGACCUGUGAAGAGCAGGCCUUGACGGUAGUCUCCUUA
rnacentral:rRNA from 1 species